GGCAACUUUGGAUCCUACAAUCACACAUUUUGAAUUAAAAGAGAUGUUAGAGACCAGUGAGUCCUACCCUUUCAUUCUGAGAAUGAAGAAACGGAGGCACAGAAAUGUUAAUUAAUUUGCUCCAAGUCUCACUACUAAAUUAUCCAAGGUUAAUGGACAACCAGUAUAUUUUUAAAAUAAUGGAGUUACACAAGCAUAAUGAGGGGCAGAAAAUAAUAACCAGGCUGCUUGCAUCACCAACAAAUGUGAAGCCGAUCUUUUCUAUGAACAGUUCCAGAACUAAGCUGGAGAUCUGUAGCUUUUACAGAGAGGAAGUGUGUUAUCACCAACGAGGACCAGGCUUGCUGAGAAAGGCUCAGAUUCAAGUCAUGAUGUGUACUAUGUACAGAUUGGCACACAUUUGAUGUGUAACCACUGAGAACCUGAGUUGAAAAAUCCCAUUUAUAACCACCUCUCAGACAUAGCAGAAGAUGGCCAAAUUGUGAUACACAGCUGAGCUUUUUUCUGAUCAUCCAAAAUAUUAUGUCCAGAUCUACUAUUUUAGAAGGAAUUUCAACAGGCUAGAAAGUAUUCAGAAGAGGGAAACCAGAAGAUGAAAGAGUUAAAAACCCAGUAAUUUAAAGGAAUGGAAUAUUGUAGUGGAGAAACACUGAAUUUGGAUUAAAUCCAAACUAUGACUCUCCUAUUUAGGUCCUGUGCUAUCUUGAUCAAAUCACUUUAUCUGCCAGGGCCUCAGUUUCCUCUGGGGAAACAAAGGGUUGGACUAAAUGACCUCUUAAGUUAGGAAAUGGAGAUCUUCAAGAGAAGAGAGAAUUUAAGGAGAAGUUGGCUUUUGUCUUCAAAUAUGUGAAAUGAUGUCAUGUAGGGAAAGGAUAAGUCUCAUUCUGUCUGACUCAUAAGGACAAAACUAACUGCAGUGGGUGGAAAUUAUAGGUAGGAACACAUUAACAUUAGGAAAAUAUUUUCUGUAGUGCUAAGCAAUGGAAUGGGAUCCCUUGUAAAUCAUAGUUCACAGUAUGAUGAUUAAAAAUUCUGAGAGACUGAAUUCUAGGUAAGAAAAUCAAUUUAUUGAUUUGUCUAGCAAUAACUAAUAAAUUGAUCAAUGAUCUCUCUCA
rnacentral:lncRNA from 1 species